rnacentral:rRNA from 1 species
UGGGGAAUUUUGCACAAUGGGGGAAACCCUGAUGCAGCGACGCCGCGUGAUUUAGAAGGCCUUCGGGCUGUAAAAAUCUUUUUUACGGGAUGAAAAUGACAGUACCGUAAGAAUAAGGUCCGGCUAAAUACGUGCCAGCAGCCGCGGUAAUACGUAUGGACCGAGCGUUGUCCGGAAUCAUUGGGCGUAAAGGGUACGUAGGCGGCCUAGUAAGUUAGAAGUGAAAUAAUAUAGCUCAACUAUAUAAAGCUUUUAAAACUGCUAGGCUUGAGAGAUGGAAGGGAAAGUGGAAUUCCUAGUGUAGCGGUGAAAUGCGCAGAUAUUAGGAAGAAUACCGGUGGCGAAGGCGACUUUCUGGUCAUCAUCUGACGCUGAGGUACGAAAGCGUGGGUAGCAAUCAGG